CUGGAUUGUCGUUGGCAUUUGUCGAGCACUUAAAAGCUUUUCUUCUGCGGAGCGCUGAGUUUUCUCAUUCCUCUUAUCCUGCCGAGGAGCUCGCGCACAAAGUCCUGGUGAAGAGAGAAAGACAGGCUGUAAGUGGAGAUCAUCGAUGUCUAUCUCCACCUCUGGCAUUUCCUCUUCCUGUAGAAACACAAAUCGGCCGACGUUAAUGGAAGCGAACACGAGACGUCGCGAACGAGAUUUCUUUUGUGCCUAUUUUCAUCACAAACCACCAAGAAUUCAAAAGAAACCUCCAAGCAAUUAAUGUCCCCUCUGGGUCCCGUUCUUCAUUAGCGCACAAAUUCCAGCAGAUUGGAUGGAUGCGGUCUAGAUAAAAUCAGCAGCCAAGAAAGUCUGAAUUAUACGUACAUCAGGGGCUGUCUAGAGAACAUCAGGAAACGCCGCGAAGGGUCAUUAACCAGAACGCCGGAACAAUGACAGACAGGAUGAGACGAGCUCUAAAAAUACACUCUGCCUCUUUAAAAGGUGGAUUGUGGGUAACGACCGCGUGCCGUCAGGCCACAGAGAGCUGAAUGAGCUCUUCCAGUCCGCAGAAGCAGCACAGACACCUUCGCGUGACCUAUUUGUGCGCCGGGUCUCAUCCUGCAGUCGACUGGUGUCUCUUCUGCAAACACAGAGCGCAUGGAAGCCGUCUCUCUCUCCUCUCGGAGCAGACAGGUCAGAUCACGGCGUAUUCGCAUCAGAAAAGCGAGCGGGCGUCGAGGUCUUGCGGGAGAAAUGCCGACGGCGAUGCUGAGAAAUCACAAGCACGCCCUCCCACACAUAACACCAUUUGAAUACCAACGUACACGAGCAGAUUGUACUGUACUGAGCACAUAUGUGCUCUUGAAAUGCUAUGCUCAUGCAUGUUCUGUGUGUCACGGAUGAUUUAUGAUCAGGGUCCGCGGGUCGGCGGGAUGAAGAUGAUAAAUUCGGUCAUUACAAGGCAAGGGUGACAUGUAUCGGUAGCAUUUGUUGCAUUUAA